rnacentral:rRNA from 1 species
UACGUAGGGUGCGAGCGUUAAUCGGAAUUACUGGGCGUAAAGCGUGCGUAGGCGGUUCGCUGUGUCCGAUGUGAAAGCCCCGGGCUUAACCUGGGAAUGGCAUUGGAAACUGGCGGGCUUGAGUGCGGCAGAGGGGGGUGGAAUUCCGCGUGUAGCAGUGAAAUGCGUAGAGAUGCGGAGGAACACCGAUGGCGAAGGCAGCCCCCUGGGCCAACACUGACGCUCAGGCACGAAAGCGUGGGGAGCAAACAGG